UUCGUAAGGGGCAAGCGUUGUUCGGAAUUACUGGGCGUAAAGGGCGCGUAGGCGGCACAGCAAGUCGGGAGUGAAAGCCCGGGGCUCAACCCCGGAAUGGCUUUCGAAACUGCUGAGCUAGAGUACAGAAGGGGCAACCGGAAUUCCCAGUGUAGCGGUGAAAUGCGUAGAUAUUGGGAAGAACACCUGAGGCGAAGGCGGGUUGCUGGGCUGAUACUGACGCUGAGGCGCGAAAGCCAGGGGAGCAAACGGG
rnacentral:rRNA from 1 species